rnacentral:lncRNA from 1 species
AAAAAAAUAGACCAGCCUUACCCAUUCCAUAUCUAUCUGUUCGAAAAGAAGGAAAGGUGAAGGAAAAUUUUGUUAACUCCCAAACCUUCACCAAACUCUUAGUUUCGGUUGGAACCAAUACAAGCAUUAGGAAAUUGAAAUUUCAAGCUAAUUUGAGGAGAAAUGAAACGCAACAGCAGGAAGAAGAUGAACUACAAUUAUCAAGCAAACAAGAAUCCAAAUAGGAACAUCAAACAAGAGGUAAAUCAAUUUCUAUUUGUCAAUUCGUGGGAAUUAGAGUAAGAUUUUAUUGUGCAUUGCUUUGUUCGAUUGCGGAAUUAUAUGAUGAUGGGAGUGUAUCCUCUAUGGAGUAAUAAAGAUGAAAAAAUUUGGGCUUGACCAUGCUCUAACAUUUAUGAAUCCUGUCCUUAAAACUAACGUGCAUAAAAUGUUUGAUUAAUUGUCUAUAAGAGACUGUUAUGCUCAAAUCGAGCAAUUUAAAGGAAGAAAUUAGUAAGAAUUCCUUCUACCCGAUUUAUGAAAUAAUUCAAGUGAAGUGGGUAAGAUAAAUUGAGUCUAAAAACUAAUAUGAAGCAAAAAUUAAGAAUCUAGCCUAGUUGAGAAUUUGACCGACAUGCUAUUUUUGAGGCUGUGUAAAAUGUGUUUGUAAAGUCUGUUUUGGUUGGGUAAUAUUUUUUUAAAAAUAUUAUGCCAUGUCAAGUAGAACAUAUUAAAAAUUGGUUACGUUUGGACUUACGGUUUAGAAGUUAUUAAUUUGAAAAGUAGGCAGUUUGGCUAUGGUGCUGAAAAUGGGCAGCAGCAGCUGCUGUGCGCUGCGCUGUGCUGCUGCGAAUGUUCGGGCUGAGCUGUUUUGGCUUCUGUUAAAUUCACUUAGAAUGCCUGAAUUCACUAAGUUAUAAUUUGUAAAAAUACUAUGAUAUACCCUUUAUAACAUGCUAAAUUUUGGUUUCCAUUGGACUUGUGGGUUGCGAACUAGAAAAUAGAAAAGGUGACCAGAGAGCGUGGUUUGAUUGCUGCAGUAGUUCGCCUGCUAUGGCUGUUUCGGUUGAGUUGUUGUGCUCUAUUUGGGACUGUUUUUGAAAACAAUGCACACCUAGUGUUUGACAAAAGUCUUAUAUGGACUGUUUUACUUAAAAACCAAGAAUUUGGGAAAGCCAAAGUUAAGAUUUCAUGUAUAAACAUCUUAUACAGUUAGUUAAAAGUUUUGAAGGAAUCAAACUAGAACGAAAAAUGAUUUAAAGCUAAAACGAGAAAUCAAAAGUUAAUUUAUCGGGCUACUUUUGGGCUAACUGUUUAGGCUAGUUAGACUUUUCAGAAAAUUAUAAUUUUUUGGGUUCUUGUAGUGUACCGUCCCAGCUAUUCGUAGCCUCCGAAACGGACUAAUUCCGACUUCGGAGGAGGGAGCUAUGGCAUACUAAAGUGGCUGUGGCGAAUCUGUCCAAAAUCUGGAAAUCAGAUUCUGACCAGCCCCUUGCACAGAUUUUCUGGAAUUAUGGGUGCAGAAUUUGGAAAAGGUUAUGGAAUAAGAGUUGUAGCCCUGGAAGUUAGCUUCGCGUGGGCGCUAGAAUCACUCAAAAAUGUUUUCAAACGAAUUAGUUAUGACUGCUUUAGCUAGAGAGGGUAAAGCUGAGAAAAAAUUAAAAACAGUUAUGAUUGGGCAUUUUUAAGUUCUGUCUUGGGCUGCCUAUGAUGUCUAAAAUGGGUGACUUAUAUUUUUUAAAUAUAUUCUCUUAUGGUGUUUAUAGCAUAUCCAAAAGUGGGGGAAAACUAACUUAAGAAUUAAAAAUUACAAAAUCGCAUAGUGGCCUCGUUGCGAAGAGGACUGCUGCCCAGGGCAGCAGUGUGCAUCAGCAACGAACUGCAGUGGCAGUGGUUGAAGUCUCCUUUGAGCUCUCAGUUGACGCAUUUAAACUAUUCAAAAUGUUAGUUUUUUUCCAAAAUGGGUGGGUAUACAACCUAUAUUUUAUUCAAAACCCAUUGGUUGGCAUAAAUAAGUUAUGCAUUAAUAUAAGAUAUACAAAUAACAUAUGUUUAUCUACAUGCUAAGAGAACAAGACAUGAUUUUUCAUUACAGGCAAGGCGUAUAUACAAAAGCAUAUAUACACCUCAUGUAUACCUGAAAUGGGGAAAAGUAAUGUUAUGUGAUAGUAUUAUUCGUGCAAAACGAAGUCCAAGUUACUCGCGAAAACGGAAUUAAGCUAUGAAUGCAUGCAUAAAGAAAAACACAAGUGCACUAUAUGAUUAUAAAUUUACAUAUAUAUGAAUAUUAAGCCUAUAAAUGGAAGGUAAUGGCAUUCCAAAAACUAUAUUGGAACCUGUUGUGCGAAAUAUGAUUAUAUAUUAAGCUAAAACUUAAAAUAUUUGAAAAAGAAUAUGGAAGUUCCUGGAAAUGAGAAUAUAAGUUAUUGAUAUAACGUAUAUGAAUGUUUAAUAUCUAUACAGAAGUAUGUGGCUAAUGUAUGCCUACAACAUAAUUGUGUAGGACUCGUGAUGCGAAGUUAAACUAGCUAAAGUUUGUAUCAAUGGUCAUUGAACGAGGCAAGUUUUUCAGUUCUGUUAUGUUUGUGGAUGGAAUGUGGUUAUGUGCUAAAUUACAUAUCAUGCUCUAUGAAUUGUUAAAGUCAAAAUAUGACUCAGUUAAUUGGGUUAUGGAACUCAAUUUAUAUGUGAUUUAUGAUAACACAUGUUGUAUGAUGUAACUCGAUAAAUUAAAAAUGUAUAAUGCAUGAAUGUAUGCUUUGUAAGGAAUUAUUGAUGCAUGUAGGAUAUGCAUAGUAAAGAAUAUAUGUUGCAUGCGGAUAUGCAUAUUAAGGGUAAUGUAGUGCAUAUGGAAUUGUGUGCUAUGUGAAACAUGAUAGACUGUUAAAUUUGCUGGGCUGUCGAGCUCAAUCUUGCAAACACAAACUUUUUGCAGGUUAAUGACGUUAUGCAAUAUUAUUUUUGUUUUGCGGAUGAUGAAGGAUGAAUGAUGGACGAAAUAAAUACAUUUCUUUGAAUUAGAAAUGGUAUAAAGCUAUGAUUGAUAGUUGCUAAAUAUAAUUGGCAGUAAUGUAUAGUUUGAAACGUUAAAUAGAUAAAGAAUGUUUAUUCUGAAAUGAGAAUAAAUAUAAUUUUAGUAUAAAGAAGAAUUGUAAAGGUUGCGAUUCAGGGAAUGAAUGAAUGGGAAUAAAGAAGAAAAUUAAAAUUUAUUCUGCAUUUUUAGCUAUUUUAACAUUAAAUAAUGUUUUAAAGCUAUAACAAGGUAGUAUUAACGCACAAGAUCGGGAAGGGAAAUGGUCCCGAUUUUGGGGUUGUUACAAGUAUCACUUUUGGGAUGUAGCGAAGGAAAUUUUAUGAAGGAAUUUAUUCCUUCACAUGAGGAGUUUUUUAGCGAAAGAACAGUGAAGGAAAAAAGUAUAGUGACAAUAUAGUUAUUAGCGAAAGAAAUAUCCUUGACAAUUUAUAUUUUUUCCUCGCAAAAUUGGGGUGAUAGAAAGAUUUUUGGAGCCAAUUUAUGAUGAAAAUUUGCGAGAAAAAAAAUCUAUUUAGUGAAUGAAUUAUUAUUCACUAUAUAUUAUUGUUCAGAAGUUUUUUGCGGGAGAUAAAAUUGGUAACAAAUUUGUUCUAAAUAAAAUUUUUAGAAUUAAUUAUGGUUAAUAUAAAUACAUUUCAUGGAAGAGGGAAAGGUUGUAAGCCCUAGCUCAAUGACUGCAUUUUGUUCCUCUUUUUACCCAAAAAAUUUUGCGUCGCUCUCUUUUUCACCUGUGAUUUCCUUUUCCCUCUCCCUCUUCCUCUUCCUAUUCACCGGCGAUUCCCUCUUCCUUCUUCAUUGUCGAGGAUUGCCUCUCUCAAUAUUAUUAUUCCUCUUCAUUUUCGUUUUUGAUCUCUCUUUAGCUACUUGGGUCUUCACAUCUCCAUAUUACUAAAGCAUAAUAAUCCAUCAAGUUAUUGUUAAGGAUAUAGCCGAAUUCUUUGAGAAUUAAGUCUAUAACCAAAUUAGAAGAGGGAUUGGAGUAAGAGGCAGUCCAAAUGAGGAUUUGAACUCAUCUAACUGGAAGUUUGGGGCUAGAACUCAGUAGAUUAAAGAGGCAAGUCUUAUGUUUUUAAUUAUGAUUACAUAAAUUUAGUUGAAUAAAGUAUUGUGUUGCAAUGUUUGUUGUGUUUGCUUAUGAACUGUUUGUAGUCAAGGGAGUUUAGAAUGUUUGUAGUAAUAAGGAAUGAUUAUUAUGGAAAAUUAUGGUUAAACCAUUCUCCAACAUCUAUUAAUUCUGGGUUUUUAAGUGUUGCAUUUAAUGUAUUUGAUAAAAUACCUCAAAGAGGUUAUGUGUUUAGAAAUUGAGAAUUAGCUUAAGUUUUGAACAAAAAGACAUUUGUUAUAUUAUCAGACACAAUUUUCUUCAUGUUAAAUACUAGAGUUGUCAAAUGUUUAGAGACAACAGAGUCAUAUGCUCAUGGAUAUCUUUUGUUAGCAGAAGGCCUGGACAAACCAGUAUUUAGAGGAGCUGAAAUAUACAUAAUGUUGGAGGUUGCCAACAGUUUGUCUAAGGCGUAAAUGUUAGGAACAUAUGUAAUAGGUUAAUACUUAAUAUCCAGUGUCCUUAUUGUAAUAGAACUGUUUGAUUUUAUAGUUUGAGAGUUACGUAAGAUGAAUUAUUGCUAGCUUGCAGCUUUACCAAGUGUUUAUGGGAAUUUAAUUUAUUGAUAAAGACUGUAUUCAGAAUAGAUAUUAAUUAUGUUUUAUGAGUAAAC